AUUGAACGCUGGCGGCAGGCCUAACACAUGCAAGUCGAACGAGUGGCGGACGGGUGAGUAAUGUCUGGGAAACUGCCUGAUGGAGGGGGAUCACUACUGGAAACGGUAGCUAAUACCGCAUACCAUCAGAUGUGCCCCGACGGGAUUAGCUAGUUGGUGGGGUAAAGGCGCACCAAGGCGAAGAUCCCUAGCUGGUCUGAUAGGAUGACCAGCCACACUGGAACUGUGACACGGUCCAGACUCCUACGGGAGGUAGCAGUGGGGAAUAUGGCACAAUGGGCGCAAGCCUGAUGCAGCCAUGCCGCUUGUAUGAAGAAGGCCUUCGGGUUGUAAAGUACUUUCAGCGGGGAGGCGUUACCCGCAGAAGAAGCACCGGCUAACUCCGUGCCAGCAGCCGCGGUAAUUC
rnacentral:rRNA from 1 species